rnacentral:rRNA from 1 species
AAAUUGAAGAGUUUGAUCAUGGCUCAGAUUGAACGCUGGCGGCAGGCCUAACACAUGCAAGUCGAGCGGAAACGAGUUAUCAGAACCUUCGGGGGACGAUAACGGCGUCGAGCGGCGGACGGGUGAGUAAUGCCUAGGAAAUUGCCCUGAUGUGGGGGAUAACCAUUGGAAACGAUGGCUAAUACCGCAUGAUGCCUACGGGCCAAAGA